AACAUGUGAACCCACACUAUUCA
rnacentral:siRNA from 1 species